GAAUUCUUAGCUCAGUUGGUUCAGAGCGUUGCCUUGACAGGGCAAAGGUCGCCGGUUCGAGCCCGGCAGAGUUCA
rnacentral:tRNA from 1 species